CGACCGGUACCCGUCCUACCUGAAACACCCUCAAAUUUUAUUCGAGGUAAACUCUCUCAAAUUCGAGGUAAACUCUCUCAAAUUCGCUAUCGGUGAAUACAUGUGAGUGGAGAAAAAAAAGCAAAAUGGGGGAUUGGGCUAAAAAGAAACUUAUGGAAUUUUUGUGACCUGUCAAAAAUGACAAACAAAUUUUGCAAAACAAAACAAUGGGUUUCGGAUUUUAAGAGUAAGUUUUUGUUAAUUGUUUUGAUUUUUAAUAUAAUUUGAUAUUUUUCAGACCAAAAUUCUUUAUAAUGAAGGGGGUAUAUACAAGUUCACUUCAUUGAAUAAAAAGUAAGUCAAAUUGCAGUGAAGAAGAUGCAACAAUCGAGUUAUUUUAUAGUCUGUCUUUUCAUUUUAGAUAGUGCCAUAAUGCAGAAAGCAAUUUCCCUUAUAUUAUAUUUCUCUUAACAAAAUAAUAUCAAUGUUUUUAACUACAGAUAUGCUUCUCAACUGCAAUAGCUGCCGCAGGUGUUGACGGCGGAGGUGUCACCAUCAAAACCAUUAGAAACAACACGACCAAGUCAAUGAUGCAAGUGGAAGUUUUGCCAUGUAAUAGUUGACCGCUGACGCCCUUCUCCAUCGAUUGUGUAAGUACGUAUCGAAACAUUCAUAUCGUAGUCAACUAGCUUAAUCUUCAUCUUCUAGGUAUAAAGAGUACUACCAAUCUGCAGUUCUGCAAGAGACGCAAACAAAACAAGAAUACAAUCGCAGGAAGACUCCAAAAAAUGUCCAACCCUGACUGUAAGUGAGUUCAAAUUUUAAAUCUACAACGAAUCCAUUUAUUUUGCUCCUAAGGAUCGCAUUGGCUUAACGGUGCCAAUCAUUCGGAGGCAAAUGAGCUGGCCCGACAAGAAUCCCCAAGAAGCCAAACAGAUUCAGAUCAGUCUCUCGGCAGCUACUGACGAUGUCGGCGAGUUGAAUCCAUCGAUUUUCACACAGAAAAUCAACAUCAAAAAAAUCACGACAAUUCAGCAGCGUCAUGGUCAACCUGCCGAUCAACCAUUCACAGUGAACAACCCCUAUUCGUAGCAGAAUGCGAACACAAUGUCAUCAAGCCGGAGUACCAUCCAGGAUCGAUCAAGUAUCGCAUUCAAUUGUUGUGCGUUGUGAAGAGCCACUGAAGCCUGGCACGUCCACUGAAUUGAUCCUCAAGCUUACUAACCCAACGAUGUACCAUAUGACCACAACCAUUAUGAAACUGCCAACCAAGGAAGAAGAACGGCGAAUGAUUACUUCGAAUAAAAGUUCAACGAAAGGAACCAAAAUUCACCACUUGGAGAAAGUCCAAUAACGUAACAAUCAAAUUGAACUUCACACCUGAAGAAGGACUGAAACCAGGCGAUGAUGUUACCCUUAGUUUUUUGAUGAAAUAUACUUUUGUGAAUACAUACACACGCCCGAAAAGAAAGAACGUCAAAAACACGCAUUAUCAUCGAAAGUUUUUGUAAAAGUUGGUCAAAUUGAAGCCUAGAUUUAUUUCUAUGUACAUAUAUCUAGAAAAUAAUCUUUUUUGCAAAAAACUUGUUUAUUUAUUUUGAGCUAUAGUGUAAUUUUGUAUAUAUUGUAUAUUCUAUUGUUUCUUUGCUGACUAGGAUUAUUUUUAUUCAAAACUAUUUAUGAUUUACUUUACUUAAUAAUAAAGGAAUUUGUUUUGAAUUCAAAGAUGUUGGUGCUUUUUGCUUCAGGGGACCUACAUAACUAUAAUUUUCGUUGGAAAAACGAAUAAGCUGUAUAAAGUAUAUUUUUCUUUAUUGAGGCAUUACAAAUUUAAUAUUUGUAAUACUUAUUCUUCUUAUGUUUUGGUUCAUCACAUCCGUGUGUAUUCUUUCGCGAUUCCAUGUGGUUAACAGACUCAUGAGUUUCAUUUGACUCUACCUAAAGUAUUGAAUUGUAAUACUUUUAUGGUUUUAAAUAGUUCGUGAGUUUAUUUUUGAUGCUGAUUACGAAUACGAACUUCGAUUUUAGCUAAAAAAAAACUAUUUUUCAACAUUAUUUUUAUCUAUUUUCAAUUUACUACAGGAACUUGAUGUUUUAACCUAAGACUAAAAAAUCCUAAUAAAAAGUACGAAACAAAUUUGAACGAAAUACUAAGGAAAAAUAUUGUAGGUUUGAAAAAACAUACAUAACUCAUUUUUUUUUGAAAAAAGCUAUUUCAUGAAUUUAGAUUAAAAAGUCUACAUGUUUAUUGAUUUAAAUAAUUCCUUAUCACAGAAAAGAAUGCAAUAUUAUUGUUAAGGACUUUUAACUAAUGUGAAUUUUAAUUGUAUAAUCUAAACAAAUUGUUUUUAUUCAUAUACUCAUCCUCGCCAACAAAAAUGGAACAUUAACCAUUUUGAACGGAUCGAUUCAAAAUCGAACACUAUGAACAAAAGAAAACAUAAGAAAUUAACAACUUGAAAAUCCAAAAAGCCAGAAGUUAAGCUGCAACAAAGCAUUAACAGCACCAACAGUAAAUAAAUGAACGCUCAUAGAGUGUUAGAGAAAUUAAUAGCUUAUCAAAUAAUAUUGACUUUAAUUUUCAUAUUAAUAGAAAUAACUUCAAAUAUAUGUAUGCUUAGUUUAUUUUUUUUAAUUUUACAUUCUUAGUUUAUAAUAUAAUAUUUUAAAUAAAACUUGUCAUAUUCAUUAGUCUA